rnacentral:rRNA from 1 species
GAUGAACGCUGGCGGCGUGCCUAAUACAUGCAAGUCGAGCGAACAGACGAGGAGCUUGCUCCUCUGACGUUAGCGGCGGACGGGUGAGUAACACGUGGAUAACCUACCUAUAAGACUGGGAUAACUUCGGGAAACCGGAGCUAAUACCGGAUAAUAUAUUGAACCGCAUGGUUCAAUAGUGAAAGACGGUUUUGCUGUCACUUAUAGAUGGAUCCGCGCCGCAUUAGCUAGUUGGUAAGGUAACGGCUUACCAAGGCAACGAUGCGUAGCCGACCUGAGAGGGUGAUCGGCCACACUGGAACUGAGACACGGUCCAGAUUCCUACGGGAGGCAGCAGUAGGGAAUCUUCCGCAAUGGGCGAAAGCCUGACGGAGCAACGCCGCGUGAGUGAUGAAGGUCUUCGGAUCGUAAAACUCUGUUAUUAGGGAAGAACAAAUGUGUAAGUAACUAUGCACGUCUUGACGGUACCUAAUCAGAAAGCCACGGCUAACUACGUG